CAUAGCGAAAGCGAGUCUUAAUAGGGCGUUAAGUCAGAUGCUGCAGACCCGAAGCCAAGUGAUCUAUCCAUGACCAAGUUGAAGUAAGUGUAACAGCUUAUGGAGGACUGAACUCGUGCCCACUGAAACGGGCUGGGAUGAGUUGUGGAUAGGGGUGAAAGGCCAAACAAACUUGGUGAUAGCUGGUUCUCUUCGAAAUAUAUUUAGGUAUAGCCUCAAGUGAUAGCAAUAG
rnacentral:rRNA from 1 species